GAAUUUAAAUCAAACUAUAACACCAUAUGCGCUACCUGGUGGUAAAUUUAGUAACUCAAAAAAAAAGUAUAAACAUUGAAGAUACCACAUAGCCAUUGGUGCAAAUUAAUUUUACGGGCUCGAUAAAUCCAAAAAAUAAAACUAUUCUUGCUGAAAAUUACUGCAAUACGAAAAUGGCAGGAACGAAAGAGCCGGAAUUAAAAGCGCUGUUUAUUGCGCUUGUCGAAAUUGUGGGUAACAUUUAAAGAAGCCUUUAUGUGAGGGACUUCGAGUGUUCUCAUCUGGAUACAUUAUGUGCCUGGGAUACACAAAGCAGCUAGAAACAAUACAGAAAAAAUUAGCUUACGGCGUUUUGCAAAGCUCACAUACGUGCGAAAUUUCGCACGAAUUAAUUCUUAAAAUAGGAUCUAACUAUCGACAAUGAGUUUUGAACUGCUCCUGUAAAGCAGAAACAGCCGGAAGUAAACACAUUGUUGCUUGUAUACUUCAUCUUAGUCACUUCGGAUUUGCGGAGUACAUAACAUCUACCGACUCCCGGCAAGCAUGAUGAGUGAGUAGAACAGAAAAAACAAAUUUUAGAGGUGCCAAACCGUUUACUCAACUUUGUUGUGGGCGAAGCCUCGGUAUUUCGCUCUCUGUAAUCACUUUCACUUGAUGUGGACUUGCUCAAUUGGAAAGCGCGCCUACCAUAUGUAGGUGAAAAGCGGGUAUAAACAUCUGUUUGUUCUUAUGAAUAUAUAAGGCGUCGUGCAGGGAACGAAUCCUGCGUGGGACAUUUGGUUGCUUUUAGCACUGGAAGCCACUUCCGGUAGAUUGCAGUAUUUGGCGAAAGAAAUUUAUGAAGCAUGCUAUUUCCUGCAGGACAAUCCACAAAAGAGCAUAUGCCGUCACUUCGUGGAAUAUGAGAUGGUUUGCCAUAAUUGUGAUUCGAAACCGGGAUUGAUGUAUUAGAUAAAUAAAUCCUUAGUCUGUCCAACUAAAUCCAACACUUGGAACAGCGACAGUAUUGCGACGUUUCUGUAUAGUUUUUGUACAUAAUAUAGUUUAGUUAUUUAGAAUAAUCUCUCCCAUUUUGCAUAUUUACUAUUUAUUAAGUCAGUAACCAGAAGCCGACAUACUCUUAU